rnacentral:rRNA from 1 species
GUAACGGCCCACCAAGGCAACGAUCAGUAGGGGUUCUGAGAGGAAGGUCCCCCACAUUGGAACUGAGACACGGUCCAAACUCCUACGGGAGGCAGCAGUGAGGAAUAUUGGUCAAUGGGCGAGAGCCUGAACCAGCCAAGUAGCGUGCAGGAAGACGGCCCUAUGGGUUGUAAACUGCUUUUAUAAGGGAAUAAAGUGAGUCUCGUGAGACUUUUUGCAUGUACCUUAUGAAUAAGGACCGGCUAAUUCCGUGCCAGCAGCCGCGGUAAUACGGAAGGUCCGGGCGUUAUCCGGAUUUAUUGGGUUUAAAGGGAGCGUAGGCCGGAGAUUAAGCGUGUUGUGAAAUGUAGACGCUCAACGUCUGCACUGCAGCGCGAACUGGUUUCCUUGAGUACGCACAAAGUGGGCGGAAUUCGUGGUGUAGCGGUGAAAUGCUUAGAUAUCACGAAGAACUCCGAUUGCGAAGGCAGCUCACUGGAGCGCAACUGACGCUGAAGCUCGAAAGUGCGGGUAUCGAACAGGAUUAGAUACCCUGGUAGUCCGCACGGUAAACGAUGGAUGCCCGCUGUUGGUCUGAACAGGUCAGCGGCCAAGCGAAAGCAUUAAGCAUCCCACCUGGGGAGUACGCCGGCAACGGUGAAACUCAAAGGAAUUGACGGGGGCCCGCACAAGCGGAGGAACAUGUGGUUUAAUUCGAUGAUACGCGAGGAACCUUACCCGGGCUUGAAUUGCAGAGGAAGGAUUUGGAGACAAUGACGCCCUUCGGGGUCUCUGUGAAGGUGCUGCAUGGUUGUCGUCAGCUCGUGCCGUGAGGUGUCGGCUUAAGUGCCAUAACGAGCGCAACCCCUCUCCUUAGUUGCCAUCAGGUUAAGCUGGGCACUCUGGGGACACUGCCACCGUAAGGUGUGAGGAAGGUGGGGAUGACGUCAAAUCAGCACGGCCCUUACGUCCGGGGCUACACACGUGUUACAAUGGCAGGUACAGGGAGACGGUUGUACGUAAGUACGGUCAAAUCCUUAAAGCCUGUCUCAGUUCGGACUGGGGUCUGCAACCCGACCCCACGAAGCUGGAUUCGCUAGUAAUCGCGCAUCAGCCAUGGCGCGGUGAAUACGUUCCCGGGCCUUGUACACACCGCCCGUCAAGCCAUGAAAGCCGGGGGCGCCUAAAGUCCGUGACCGUAAGGAGCGGCCUAGGGCGAAACUGGUAAUUGGGGCUAAGUCGUAACAAGGUA